UGGGGAAUUUUGGACAAUGGGCGCAAGCCUGAUCCAGCAAUGCCGCGUGCAGGAUGAAGGCCUUCGGGUUGUAAACUGCUUUUGUACGGAACGAAAAGGCUCUGGUUAAUACCUGGAGCAUAUGACGGUACCGUAAGAAUAAGCACCGGCUAACUACGUGCCAGCAGCCGCGGUAAUACGUAGGGUGCGAGCGUUAAUCGGAAUUACUGGGCGUAAAGCGUGCGCAGGCGGUUUUGUAAGACAGAGGUGAAAUCCCCGGGCUCAACCUGGGAACUGCCUUUGUGACUGCAAGGCUGGAGUGCGGCAGAGGGGGAUGGAAUUCCGCGUGUAGCAGUGAAAUGCGUAGAUAUGCGGAGGAACACCGAUGGCGAAGGCAAUCCCCUGGCCUGCACUGACGCUCAUGCACGAAAGCGU
rnacentral:rRNA from 1 species